rnacentral:rRNA from 1 species
AUUGAACGCUGGCGGCAUGCCUUACACAUGCAAGUCGAACGGUAACAGGUCUUCGGACGCUGACGAGUGGCGAACGGGUGAGUAAUACAUCGGAACGUGCCCAGUCGUGGGGGAUAACUACUCGAAAGAGUAGCUAAUACCGCAUACGAUCUGAGGAUGAAAGCGGGGGACCUUCGGGCCUCGCGCGAUUGGAGCGGCCGAUGGCAGAUUAGGUAGUUGGUGGGAUAAAAGCUUACCAAGCCGACGAUCUGUAGCUGGUCUGAGAGGACGACCAGCCACACUGGGACUGAGACACGGCCCAGACUCCUACGGGAGGCAGCAGUGGGGAAUUUUGGACAAUGGGCGAAAGCCUGAUCCAGCAAUGCCGCGUGCAGGAUGAAGGCCUUCGGGUUGUAAACUGCUUUUGUACGGAACGAAAAAGCUUCUCCUAAUACGAGAGGCCCAUGACGGUACCGUAAGAAUAAGCACCGGCUAACUACGUGCCAGCAGCCGCCGUAAGAC